AAGUCGAGCGAACAGACGAGGAGCUUGCUCCUCUAACGUUAGCGGCGGACGGGUGAGUAACACGUGGAUAACCUACCUAUAAGACUGGGAUAACUUCGGGAAACCGGAGCUAAUACCGGAUAAUAUAUUGAACCGCAUGGUUCAAUAGUGAAAGACGGUUUUGCUGUCACUUAUAGAUGGAUCCGCGCCGCAUUAGCUAGUUGGUAAGGUAACGGCUUACCAAGGCAACGAUGCGUAGCCGACCUGAGAGGGUGAUCGGCCACACUGGAACUGAGACACGGUCCAGACUCCUACGGGAGGCAGCAGUAGGGAAUCUUCCGCAAUGGGCGAAAGCCUGACGGAGCAACGCCGCGUGAGUGAUGAAGGUCUUCGGAUCGUAAAACUCUGUUAUUAGGGAAGAACAAAUGUGUAAGUAACUAUGCACGUCUUGACGGUACCUAAUCAGAAAGCCACGGCUAACUACGUGCCAGCAGCUGCGGUAAUACGUAGGCGGCAAGCGUUAUCCGGAAUUAUUGGGCGUAAAGCGCGCGUAGGCGGUUUUUUAAGUCUGAUGUGAAAGCCCACGGCUCAACCGUGGAGGGUCAUUGGAAACUGGAAAACUUGAGUGCAGAAGAGGAAAGUGGAAUUCCAUGUGUAGCGGUGAAAUGCGCAGAGAUAUGGAGGUACACCAGUGGCGAAGGCGACUUUCUGGUCUGU
rnacentral:rRNA from 1 species